UAUAUGUGAGUAAUUACCGCUCUGUUGUACAUUAGGUGUCAAGUGAGCAACUAUUAUAGCUAUGUUAAAUUUUAAUUCAAUGAUAUAUUAUCGUUGUACACGAAAUAAACAAAGCCCUCAUCAUGGCCAGUAAAUAUUAGAGUAUUAGGUAUACAUAUAGUAUUACGAUUCAAAUUACGAAAACCGAGAACGAGUAAUUCACAAUAUUAUAUAUUAAUAUAUAUCUGUUGAUGAUUGCACAAUUGUUCUUAUUUUACCCUUUACAUUUUAAAGAGAACUCUUCAAAAUAUACUAUUGAGAUAUAGAUUGUGAGAACAAAACGGUUAAAAUUAUAGUUUGUAAAUGUAAUAAUAUACGUGUAUAAUAUUCCACAUACUGAACACGCCGAAUUUGAAUGUGUCUGAGACAUUUCUCAUUUUCAUCCGGUUUUCAAGGUCUACCCUCAUCGUGCUCACCUACUCCGUGAAAAGCCAUACCGAAUAGGCCUUGGAGAGUGCCUGCGCAGCCACUCGGUGCUACUUUUGCCGCAUAUGAAAUGCCAGCCACAAAAGCCAAGGUAAACGUUAUACCAUUGCUCAGCUCGACUGGUAAUACCCACAGUGGAUCUUUAAUGAUCGAAUACAGGAAAAAUCUUAUAGAAAACAAUGCGAAUGAUAUUGAAAAAGCUGUCAUGUGUCCAAUGCGUUUGAGUAUAUAUCCUAUACAGUAAAAUACAAUUUUAAAAUAUAAUAAUUACACAUAAUUACAACAUGACGCAAUAAAGUAUAUAAUUUUUCAUUAAAAUUUGUACAUUUUUUUGUCAUUACAGAUCAUAAAAAACAUCGUACUUACAUAAUCUUAAUUAAAUGCAAAAACAGAUAUAAAUAGGAAUUUCUCCAAUAAGACAUUGCAGUGUCACCGACAAACCUUCUAUAGUCUUGAUAUACGGUAAUCGUUCUCUAUGAUGAAUGUUUGCUAAGUCUUCAAUGUACCUAUUGAAAAACAAUAAAGGUAAAUAUAUUAUAAUUUAUAGUUAACAUUUUAUAAUAAUGGAAUAUUAAUACUUACAAAAAUAAAUAAAUCCAAAUAUAUGCGGAGAAAAUGCCAGAAAACACUGCCCAUACAAGGUAUGAACAGACUUUAACGUCACAUAAUAUUUUGAAUAUACCUUCACUCAUGCUUUUGGAUGUACAAGCUUGAUUUUGCUGAAAAAUAAAUAAACACGGAGAGAUACCUUGGGAAAACCUGUGAAUAGCAGACAUCUAUUUGAAUCCACCUAUAUGAGGACGUCACACCUGCAUAUAUUGUAUCCGUCUUACACAUGUACGAUAUCGACAAAACGCGUUUAACACAGUCUGAGUAGAACUCGCUCAAUUUUGGUUUUAGAGUAAAUAUAUCUAUUAUAAAAUUAAAUAGUUAAGAGCUGCGUUUUUUCCAUUAUUCCUUAUAUAACGUUCAUUAUAUCGUUUAGAAGUAGCAAAAAUGUCAACAUUUUUAAAUGACCUAUAACUUUUCAAAAUUAAAAUUUUUUUUUUAAACACAGUGAAUUUACUUUAGAACCAAAAUUGAGUAAGUUUUACUUAAACGAGUUUUAUCUAUGUCGUACGGGUGUAAAACGGAGACAACAUAUAUGGGCGUAGAGUCCUUUUCAUUUUAAAAUAAUAACAAACCACCUAAUUGGAAUCAACAGCUCACACUAAAUAAAGUAACGAUAAUUAACUAAUCGGAGGCACGUGACAACCGUAAACACAAAUAACCUAUACUAACACACAUUAACAAAACUAAACGAAGACGAGGAAGAAAAAACAUCAUUAAAAAAAAAUAUUUUAAGUAUUACUUAAUAAUACAACCCCGACAUUAGUCAAUUAUUAUUAAAAUUUUAAAGUGGUAGGUAUUCAAAAACUUGUUUUUACAAUAAUUUAUAUGCUGUACAAAUAUAUUAACUACAGUAAUGUUGAUAAAUAAUUUUUGUUUUGUAUACCUAUACAGUAUGAUAAACGUAUAUAGAUUACGGUAUCAUCUAUGUAUCUUUACAUUUUCGUAUA